rnacentral:rRNA from 1 species
UACGGGGGGGGGCAAGCGUUGUUCGGAAUUACUGGGCGUAAAGGGCUCGUAGGCGGCCAACUAAGUCAGACGUGAAAUCCCCGGGCUCAACCCGGGAACUGCGUCCGAUACUGGAUGGCUUGAAUUCGGGAGAGGGAUGCAGAAUUCCAGGUGUAGCGGUGAAAUGCGUAGAUAUCUGGAGGAAUACCGGUGGCGAAGGCGGCAUCCUGGACCGACAUUGACGCUGAACGGCGAAAGCUAGGGGAGCAAACGGG